GCGAACGCGGCGGUUGUCUGUCGCGCGCACGCGAGACACCAACUGCCUCUCUCUGCAGGCAGCCCACGCUCUCCCAGUAUAGACGCAGCAGCGGAACAACAUGGCGGCCGCGGAGUCUUCUCCUCAGCCAGUCGGUCGCGGGGCUGCCCGACGCCGCGCCUGCUUUUGCCUUUCUUCCUCUUCCGCAGGGGCUGGCCACGGCCACCCUCUGCUCUUGUAAUCCACCACCCUCCCCGCAAGAAGCUCGAAUUAAACCCCGCGCGCGGUCUCCCUACACCCACCGGUGACACGUGAGGAUGUCCAAGCACAAAGCUUGCAAAUUUGAAGGAAACAAAACAAAGAGCAGGUGGGACAAAGAAGGAGAGGCGCUGGGCAAGAAGCAACAGAAAUAUCAUGAGAAAGGUGAAAAUGGAAAAUGUCUGUCGACCCACACGAUUCCUGCUUGGCCACCACCCCCCAUGAUGGAAAUUCGGGCCUCCUGCAGACCCUCCGCAGUUCUUCCAAGGCUUGAAGUCUUUCUUUUACCCUGCUCCUGAAAUUCUUCUUCCGUGAGAUGGCAGAUUUGGAUCUUUUCAGUUCUGAAAAAACUAAUGGCUUUCCUAGGUAGGAAGGAAAAAAGGAAGGAAAACUGAAGAAUAAAGGGAAAGGGAAGAAUACUGGCAUUUUGAACGCUGUGCCAUGGAUUUGAAAUACAAAAAUAUGUUCAAGUAUUGAUAGACAAAGAUACCGAACAUACACUGUAGACUGCAGCUCACAGAAUCCAUGAGCAGAAAAGCUGAAGAACGUGACAGACUGAAAUUAAGCAGUUUAAGACAUCAAACUUGUUUUGGUACAGUUAUAUAAAAUUCUAUGCACACGUACUUGCACAUAUUCCACUGAAUAUCUCAAAAACUUAAUAU